UUUAUUAAGGACUUCUCUAAGAUUGCUAGACCUUUAACUCAAUUGCUUUGUAGAGGAUGCACCUUUUGUAUUUUCUGAUGAUUGUUUGUAGGCUUUUGAGUUGCUGAAGGAGACACUAACCACAACGCCAAUUAUAGUUUCACCUAAUUGGGAGCUAGCAUUUUGAGCUUAUAUGCGAUGCUAGUGAUUUUGUAGUUAGAGCUGUUUUAAGAUAGAGGAGAGAUAAGAGGUCCAAC
rnacentral:lncRNA from 1 species